CAGCGCCACGAGUGGCGAUCCUUUUUAUUUGGCCUAAAGCGUCCGUAGCUGGUUUAGUAAAUCUCUUGUGCAAUCGUUAAGCUUAACUUAACGGCGUGCAGGAGAGACUGCUAGACUAGGGACCGGGAGGAGUCAGAGGUAUGCUUGGGGGAGCGGUAAAAUGCUAUAAUCCCUAGUGGACCACCUGUGGCGAAGGCGUCUGACUAGAACGGGUCCGACAGUGAGGGACGAAAGCCAGGGGAGCAAACCGGAUUAGAUACCCGAGUAGUCC
rnacentral:rRNA from 1 species